GGACCAAUAAAUUUUCUACAUUCUUCUAAUGCUUCUGAAAUUGAAUAAAAUCCUUUGUAAAGAGGAUUUGGAAAAUUCUUAAUACAGUCUGAAACUUCUAAUCAGGUAUGGUAAAUUCCUGGAAGUCUUCCAUUUAAAACAACAUAACAUUUAAAUUGUUUAUGAUCUUGACUAAAAUGUUUUGAGAGAGCAUUUAAACAUGCUAAAAAAUAUUUUUGGUCUUUUGGGUUCUUAUUGUAAGAAAUCCAUAAAUUAUCUAAAAUACAUUUUUCUGCCUUUGUUACUGAAAUAUGAAAAAGUGUCUUAAAACUAAUAUUGCUAUUAGGAAAACAAAGAAGUUCUAUAUUACCAAAUCUUAACUUAUCAUGAGUCUGGAGUAUAUUAUUCUGAGAACUGGAACUGCCAACAAUUGGCAAUCCUGGUCUGGGACCUCUUGGUCUUUGCAUCUGCAAUAAAUAGUUAGUCAUAAUCUUUAUUUUUAAUUAUUCUACUUAAAAUAUCUGCUAUCUGAU
rnacentral:lncRNA from 1 species